rnacentral:rRNA from 1 species
AAAGGGUCCGCAGGCGGAUUUAUAAGUCAGUGGUGAAAGCCUACAGCUCAACUGUAGAACUGCCAUUGAUACUGUAAGUCUUGAAUUCGGUCGAAGUGGGCGGAAUAUGACAUGUAGCGAUGAAAUGCUUAGAUAUGUCAUAGAACACCGAUAGCGAAGGCAGCUCACUAGGCCUGGAUUGACGCUCAGGGACGAAAGCGUGGGGAGCAAACAGGAUUAGAUACCCUUGU